CUGGACAUGCAGCUGGUUUAAAAGUAAAUGAGUGGAGAGAAAUUACAAUAUUGCAACACAAUUAUAAUAUGAACAAUGUUCAAUCAGAAUGUCAUUAUGUGGUUAAGAAUAAACCCUCUGACUAAUGUUUCUGUUUCCUACCGUGUCUUUCUCCCGUUUUAAAGGCUUGCUCCUUGUGAAGGGAGGGCUCGUUCUCACUGGUUUUCUCCCAAAUGGCACCCUAUACCUUUGACUAGGGACCAUACGGUACAAGCCGGUAUAUGUAGUGCACUAAGAAGUGCACUAUAUAGGGAAUAGGGGGCCAUGUGGGACACAAGCCAAUCCUACUGUGGCUACAUUCCAUUUCAAAGACUUACACUCUGUGAACGGGUGCUUCUAAGGACUCAUUUUAAUUUGGUACGUAGGCGGUAGGCGGUAGGCGGUAGACGGUAGGCGGUAGCCGGAAGGCGGUAGGCUGUAGACGGAAGGCGGUAGGCGGUAGGCUGUAGCCGGUAGGCGGUAGGCGGUAGGCGGUAGCCGGUAGACGGAAGGCGGUAGGCGGUAGGCGGUAGGCUGUAGGCGGUAGACGGAAGGCGGUAGGCGGUAGGCUGUAGCUGGUAGGCGGUAGGCGGUAGGCGGUAGGCUGUAGCCGGUAGACGGUAGACGGUAGACGGUAGGCGGUAGGCGGUAGACGGUAGAGGGUAGGCGGUAGGCGGUAGACGGUAGCCGGUAGGCGGUAGGCGGUAGACGGUAGAGGGUAGCCGGUAGACGGUAGACGGUAGACGGUAGGCGGUAGACGGUAGACGGUAGAGGGUAGGCGGUAGACGGUAGGCGGUAGGCGGUAGGCUGUAGACGGUAGGCGGUAGGCGGUAGACGGUAGCGGGUAGACGGUAGGCGGUAGGCGGUAGGCGGUAGACGGUAGGCGGUAGACAGUAGGCGGUAGACUGUAGGCGGUAGACGGUAGCCGGUAGACGGUAGCCGGUAGGCGGUAGACGGUAGACGGUAGACGGUAGGCGGUAGGCGGUAGACGGUAGACGGUAGACGGUAGGCGGUAGGCGGUAGACGGUAGGCGGUAGAUGGAAGCUGUUUCCAUCUAGACCACAUGCUGAUUCUAAGGACCUUUCCUAAGUGGACUUUAUUUAGUGAGAGUUUGAUGCUGUUUGUCCUCCAAGAUAAAUCUAACCCCUGCCAAGGAGCUGUUCUGUUCUGCCUCCAGCUGCUUUAUAGCAUAGUGCUAUACACACAGACACAGACACACACACACACACAGACACAGACACACACACACACACACACACACACACACACACACACACCUCCACCAACACACACACACAGACACACACACACAC
rnacentral:lncRNA from 1 species